rnacentral:rRNA from 1 species
CCUACGGGGGGCUGCAGUGAGGAAUAUUGGUCAAUGGGCGCGAGCCUGAACCAGCCAAGUAGCGUGAAGGAUGACUGCCCUCCGGGUUGUAAACUUCUUUUAUAAAGGAAUAAAGUGAGGCACGUGUGCCUUUCUGUAUGUACUUUAUGAAUAAGGCUCGGCUAACUCCGUGCCAGCAGCCGCGGUAAUACGGAGGAUCCGAGCGUUAUCCGGAUUUAUUGGGUUUAAAGGGAGCGUAGAUGGGUUGUUAAGUCAGUUGUGAAAGUUUGCGGCUCAACCGUAAAAUUGCAAUUGAUACUGGCAUUCUUGAGUACAGUUGAGGUAGGCGGAAUUCGUGGUGUAGCGGUGAAAUGCUUAGAUAUCACGAAGAACUCCGAUUGCGAAGGCAGCUUACUAAACUGCCACUGACAUUGAUGCGCGAAAGUGUGGGUAGCAAACAGGAUUAGAUACCCUUGUAGUC